CACUGUUGAGUACAACCAUCAGUUGAGUAAAAGUACAGCAUAUAUGUAUAGAAUAUGACACUUGAUAGCAGUAAUACAUGGUUGUUAAUUGGUUUAUUUACUAACCAUACUUCAUCAUCACUUUAGCUUGUUCUCCUACUUAAAAAGAAAGAUAUAUAUUUUCUUAAACAACUGAUGCCAGAUCAAAUGAAUGGGAUCAAGGUGUGAGUAAAUGGACAAAGACAGUAGGAUUCAAUGAAGUGCUUAAAUGAGCAUGUGUAAGAAGCCUUGUGCAGCUGCUGUUGACUAACAGCUGAGCCAGAAAACUCACUACGCACUUGAAACCUCCGUGGAAUCAAAGAUCUCAGACACAGUGAAUUGUCCAUUUUGCCAAGAACUGAGAAAUAUGAUGAUUUGCUGUGACUGUCAUCAAAAUCUAACACAGUUUGGGCCCAGUGCGGUAGCUUAGCAAUUAAA